AAGUCGUAACAAGGUCUCCGUAGGUGAACCUGCGGAGGGAUCAUUAUUGAAGAAUAGAGUGCGCUUAAUUGCGGCUCGACCUCUCAUCCACUCACCCUGUGCACCGUAAUACCUUUUCAUUAGACUCUACUAGUCAUUGAAUGUAACACUUUAAUAAAGUAAACAAAA
rnacentral:misc_RNA from 1 species